GAGGGUAACAAAUGGCAUCGUGACUCACCACUGAGCAGAGAGCAGGUUCAAUGAGAGAAUGGACAUGAAUGCAGUGAAACUGGAAAAAGAGCAUCACGCUUCUGGGAGAAGUUUCAUGGGUGUGAUCUGGAAGAUGGUCUGAGCACUGCAGGGAAUGGUCAGAGAAAACAGCCACACUCCAUUUGUGCUGUGUUUUUCACAUCAGAGUCCUCCCAUAGCCAGCACACACUUCAAGUGACAGGAUUUCACCCUCAGCCUUCAGCAAACUGAAGGCAUACAUGUUGCUUGUAUAAAACCUUCAAUUUUCCCCACCCACAUUUACAAUGGCACUUGCAGAAGAGAAAUAACAAAAUGAAGCAGGAGCACCUGUUCCUAG